rnacentral:lncRNA from 1 species
AGACCACAGGACUCUCUGAAUCUAUGGCUGCCUCAUAAGGGGACUGCUAAGGUUAACUGAGUAAGAGCAGGUUUGGUGGGUAUAUUGAAGCUGUAUUUCAGAUAGGUGGCUUAGGGGCCCAGGGCAAGCAAGAUAAAGACAUCAAGGAUGGAGCCAGGGCCAGAGACCGCUGCUUGGGAGUCAUUAGGCUCUGGGUGAUCUUUGAAGCCAUCAGCCUGGAUGUGGCUUUCCAGGGAGAGUGUUGGAGAGGAAGUCAAGACUAAGGCUUGGGGAUGCCAGUGUUUAAGGGAAGCCAAGAAAAGAUGGGUCCACAAAGGACAUUGAGAAGGUCUAGCAGGAGAGGUAGGAGGGAACCUGUUAUCCUGAAUUGUUAUUAUUCAUUGAAGGUUUAGUAUGAUAGAGUCACUGUGCUUGGGGUUUCAUGUAUUAUACUCUUUAAAUCUGCAACAACCUUGCAGGUGGGUAUUGGUCAUGGUUGAUGGGCUCAGAGUUUAAGUAACAUGCCCAAGUUUAAGGUCUGCAGCCAGCAUGGCAGACCUGCCUCUUUUCAAAGAACACGUUCUUCUCCACCCCAUGGGAAUAGUGGUUGCAGCAGAGAUGGGGGCACCAGAGUCCAGAAAACCCACCUUCUUUCACUUGACCUGAGCAACUUGAGCAGAUGUCAAGUUCAGGGAACUUGACCAUUGCAGGUACAAGUCUGGGGGUGGGUGGGCACUGACCUCCUUUCUCUGCUGGCCUCGCUGAGCAGGCCAUGAAAUGGAGACCCGGACAAAGAGGCUAUUUAAAAUGGAACAUGGAAAACAGUGCCAGCGAAGUAAUUGCAUCAUGAAUUGUGGCCAGAAAAGGAGCCUAGCAACAAACUCAGUUUCUGUUGGGCACAAGACACAGAGAACUUACUGUACCCAGUUCUGUCUUUUUCCUUCUUGUUGGCGUCUUUAUUUUUCUUUCUUGAGUACACUGGUGGACCAGCUUUAUCUAAGGUCCUGGGGUUGGCGUGGUCCUUCUGAGCCUUGAAGUGUUUGGGGAGGUCCCUCAGGUGGUAUGGAUGUGGGCAUAUCCCCUGUCUAACAUUGGCUGAGCACUUGUGUGCAAGAGAAUGUACCUGAGUGUUGUCCACAUAUUACCUUAUUUACCUGUUGGCCCCCAACCCUGUGAGUUAGGUAAUAUAAUUAUCUUUUUCUUUUCUUUUUUUUCUUUUCCUGGUGGGGAAACUGUGCUGGGGAAGGUUAAGACCUUGUCCAUGAUCCCAUGGCUAAUGGUGGUGAAUUAGGGCUUGAACUUGGCCCGCUGACCUUCCACAGUUAUUCUCUGCAUCUUCCCUCCUUUGUCAGGGGCUGGUAUCUUGUCCAGUCCGAGUCUCCUUGGCCUGCGUCUGGUUUUCUUGGCUCUCAGCUGUGAUUGUCCUGGAAGACCCUGCAGGGCUAGCAAAGCUUGUUGGAGAGGGAGCUGGCUGAGUGACCUGGAAGAGGUAGAACAGCUUGUUCAGAGGUCUUCCUUUGAGAGGUCGACGCCAGGGGAGCUGCUGAAGGCCCAGGAGUGGGUCAUGUCACCACAAAGCUUUGUUCCUGUGCUUCUCUGGCGUUCAGACGAAGCUGUUGCUUAGACUCUGGAAAUUGUCAUGUGACUGAACAUCCCGUGGCCUCUGGGGGCAGUCAUGGGGGCCCCCUCCUUCCUGUGGGGAGGAGCUGUGCACGGCAGGCUUGGUUGUGAACAGCUGACUGCUCACUGCUCACCCCCCGCCGGGCCCUGGAUGGAACAUCCUAGUGAAAGCCAGUGUCUUAAUACUUAGCAACAUUGCCUUUGUUUAAGCCUCUUGCUUAGGGAUUUUCUUGUGUCACCAGGGUGGUUCUGUGCUCCCUUGCUAAUGAAUUAUCCAGGAGUCAAUGGCCCGUGCACAGUGGAUUGGUUUGUCAUCCAUGCGGCAUAAGACACAGCUGUCAGCCUUGUGUGACUGGAACCCGAGGUCAGGGCCUCUGAGGUGAUGACGAAGCUGCCCCAUUAGCCGCGUUCCUGUUCCCUCCCUGUGCAUGGGGAGCCAGCACGUGCGCUUGGCUUGCCACUCAUCUGUGGUGCGCAGUGGUUCAGGCCUGGCAGGUGGCUAAGACUUCUGAUGGGAUUUAUCUCCCUGAGCAGCGUGAUUUGAUAAACGCUGGCAUCACAGACUUGGGGAGUGAAAAGAACCUUGGUUCAAUCCCUUUAUCUUGCAUCUGUGAAAACAGAGGCUGGAGAAAGGAGGUUGGUUCCGUGGCUGGGUCUCUGGGCUGGAAGCGGAGGCAGACCCUCUGCCUGGUGCCCCCAAUUUCUCUGGAAUACUGCUGCAGAUACUUCAUGGCAGAUGCCUCGAGGGCUGAUCCUGUGGCCUGAGAAAACGGGGAGGAAGAUGAUAACGAGAUGGGAGAAACCUCACCACUCUUCCGUCGGGCGGGUUUCUUCUCAGAUGCUCUGAUGUUGAACAUUUGAUUUAGCCUCACUCGUUGCCAUCCAGAAUCACAGCCACAGUCGUGAGGAAGGCUCAGCCACUUUCUGCCCAGUGAACGAGGAUCAGCUGUCAUGUUAGAAAACUCCCUUGCUCUUCAGGUUAUUAAAGAACUAUUAGUGCCCUCCGACAGGCAUGUAAGAAAUGAAGCCUCCGGAGGCUUGCAUAGCAGUAAUAAGUGCCUCGUUUGCACCCAAGGAUUCGCUUGCUCACUCAGCAGGAUCUGGGUCAAUAGACAUCAUUUUCAUAAGACAUUUAUCUUUCUUUUUCAUAUUAGUUAGACUAUUUUUUUUUUCCUGGCAUUUGCUUUGGAGCAAUAGGCUUUUGGGAAAAAAUAAAACGGGCCGAUUAGAAGAAUAAAGCUUGAAUUGAAUUUGGGUACAAGAGAAUACAAUGUAACUUCCAAUGCUCUGGACCACUUCCAUUUAUGUCAGUCCUUUGCCAUAAUGAGGUUUAGAUUUAAAAUUCAAUUCCAGGUUCUGUAAGGUGAUUGCUCACAAGGAAGGGUGCAGAUAGUAUUAACAAUGGUACUUGGGGAGAUUGGCGAGGGUGUGUAAGGAGGAGCCUGAAGAGCAGGUGGCAGGGGUUGACCCCUGAUCCAGUCAGCCAAUGGCACACACCAAGAGUGCCCAGGUACCCGUUCAUUCCUGUUGGUCUUGGUUUUGCUUUUUGAUGAGCAUCCUUCCAAACGCUCAGUGUACACACUCUGACUUUCAGUUACAUUCUCGGGCCAUGCAUGGCCUGAAUUAUAUUUCCCCCAGAAUUCGGAUGCUGAAGCCCUAACCCUCAUGGUGACAGUGCUUGGAGACAGGGCUUUUAGAUGGUAAUUAAAGUUGAAGGGUGAGGGUCCUAGUGUGAUAGAUUUCUUUGUCCAUCUGCCACAUGUGUGCACAGUGAGAAGGGCGUCAUUGACAAGCCAGAAGGAGAGUCUCGCCAGAGCUCACCCAUGCUGGCACCCUGGUCUCGGACUUGUGGCCUCCAGAACGGCAAGAACAUUAAUUUGUGUUGUCGAAGCCCCCAGGCUAUUGUAUUUUGUCAUCACGACACAAGCUGACCCGUGGCCUCCCUCCCUGCUUUCCUUCCUUUGUUCUUAUUUCAUGUCAGCAGUUUCAGUUGAGGUCUAUGAAAUUUGUUGGUUUAUAAGGGAAUCAUUAGGCAGCUUUGGAUGCAUUUUGCCCUGGAACUAGUGUUCUGGGUAUGACUGGGUUGCCACGUGGCCCUGAAACAUCUGUGUAAGCCAUCAGCUACCUAAGUAGCCCGUUCAGGGAUGUCCCGUGAUAUUUAGACACCAUUAAAGGAGAAAGUGGAUAAUACAUUCACAUCGUUCAAAAAAGUCUAAAUAGAGAGUUUCGUUUUCAUCUUGCCCACCAUCCAUCCAUUUCCACUGUUGCCUCCCCAGGAAACAUGUUUAUUCGUUCGAAUAUACACAUGUACAUAAAUUUAACUUCCCAAGACUUUAAAAAAUUUUUUCCAGAUGGUCUUUUAUGGUACCACGCUACUUAUAUUUCAUAGUUGCAAUAUCUUUUCUUAUCCCUCUGAGGAUAUUAAUCAAAAUUAUUUUUGCUUUCUCCCCUCCCUGUAGAGUCUUUUUGCUUCCCAGUUUCUCACUUCAUUUCCCCCUCUGUUUUGAUCUUUGUCUUUCAUGUUCACAGCUUUCCUCCAGUGUCUGAUAAUACGCAGUUGUUGGUUCAUCUGUAAGAAGGACUUUGAAGCUGCCUGUAGGCUUUGGUGUGUGGGUAGGGCAUGUUGACGCCAAGUCUCCCUGUAGGGUGAUGUGGCUGGGUUGUCUGUUUAAAAAUCAGUCUUGGUUGAGUAGUUGCAUUGUCUGCAUAUGGACCACAUCUUCUUCAUCCCUUCUUACAUCAGUGGUGGCUUAGAUUGUUCCCAUAUCUUGGCUGUGGUAAAUAAUGACAAUAGUACAACAAUAAUACGAAGAACAUAGGGGUGCAUGUGUCUUAUUGACUUGGUUUUCCAUUCUUUAGGUAAAUACCUAGGAUUGGAAUAGCUGGAUCCCAUGAUCGUUUGGUUCUUUUUUUGAGGAGUUGCCAUACUGUUUUCCUUAGUACCUGGUGUUUGGUGGUGGUGCAUGUGCAUGGGAGCCAAGCGUAUCCAGAAGUCGACCUGUCAUGUUAUAUGCAUAAAAUGUAUACAGCUUUGUAAACCCGAGUUAACUCAAGAAAAGAGAAUCAGUGUUGAUAUCUUCUGGGCUUUCCUCUUUGGUUGCUCAGAUUCUUCAGAGCAACUACCAUCUCCUGCCUGGAGAGUGAAGGGCAGACUGUUGGUGUUAUGGAGAGCCAGUGGGGAUGAGAAGGCUGGGGUGUGUAUCUGUGUGAUUAUCUCAGAAUCCUCCUUUGUUUGCCUAAUUCUCUAUUUAACCCUCUAUUUUAUAUGAGUUACCCUCGCCUGCAACCAGUGCUGCGGUCUUUCGAUGAAGAGACCCUCUAAUAUGGGCUGUCCUGUGAUGCAUCUCCCAGGUCGGUUUGCCACAGGUGAGAAUGUGCAGUGCUCGGAGUUCCCGUCGUGGCACAGUGGAAGCAAAUCUGAAUAGGAACCAUGAGGUUGCGGGUUCAAUCCCUGGCCUUGCUCAUUGGAUUAGGGAUCUGGCAUUGCUGUGAGCUGUGGUGUAAUUCACAGAUGUGGCUCGGGUCCUGUGUGACUGUGGCUGUGGCUGGUAGCUGUAGCUCCACUUGGACCCCUAGCCUGGGAAUCUCCAUAUGCUGCAGGUGCGGCCCUAAAAAGCAAAAGAAAAAAAAA